ACGCUCCUUCAACAACAACAGCUAGUCAGACGCCAUCGUAGCUUUCUAGCAAACAUUGCUACAACAUUCACGCUCUUUACACUGUUUUGGUGUAUAUUAGUCGCUGUGUAUUAAACACACUUCUGUCGUAUGUACUUGUUGGCCCAUUUAAUUCUAUAUUUACGUUGUUUGUCAGCUAGCUGGUUUGCUAAAUUAGUUUAGGACUAGGCUAGUCGCGAAUGCUAGCUAGCUAACAUCCCCGACCAUGAGGUCACUUAGCUACUCUCCUCCUGCUAAAGAAGAGGCGGUCUGCUGGAAGGAGAAAGACGGUCUCGUGGAAGAGGAGGAUGUUACAAUACAAAAACAAGUAGAAGGUGAGGCUGUUACCGUGAAAGAAGAGGAAGAUGCGUUCAGAGUGAAAUAGGAGGAAGAGAAAAAGGGUGCAGUUUUUGCAGUGACGGAGGAGGAGAUGACUGUCACAUUGGAGGAAGAAGAAGAGGAGGUUGGAGAUCGAGUGAACACCAGAGAGAUACGGGACAAUCGUGGAUCCUCUGGGGUGCCUCAACAACCUCAUGAAGCUGAAGAGGCAGAGAAGAGUCUCUCCAGAUCAGAACAUCUCAAUAAACACCUGCAGAGACCCACAGGAAAGGGAAACUCACUGCUGCUCUGACUGUGGGAAGAGAUUCACCUCAUCAGGCAUUACAAUUCAUCAGAGAACACACACAGGAGAUAAAUCUUACAGCUGUGAUCAAUGUGGGAAGAGUUUUACAACAUCUAGCACUCUAACUCUACACCAGAGAACACACACAGGAGAGAAACCUCAUAGCUGUGAUCAGUGUGACAAGAGAUACUCUGAUAAAAGAUCUCUGAUCAAACGUCAGAAAAUACAUGGAGUUAUUUCAUGAUAUCAAUUAAUUCAUGUCACAAUGUAGAAUGUUUAAACAUUGUAGUAGGAGUAUUUUAAUGAGGUCACAAUGUAGAAGCCUAAAUGUUUGUUCCCUGUUCUAUUGAUUUCAGCAUGAUAUGGAUUUUAGCCUCAGGGGAACAUCCAGGCUCUGAAUUGAAAGAGUACUAUUUAUAUGAUUUAACACAAAAAGAGUUGUGUUAUACUUACCAUGUUGGUGACACAUUUGAAUCAAAAUGCAACACUUCAAAAUGUAGCUAGCUGUUUUCUACAAGUUGUCCUCUAACCAGUGAUGUACACAUUAUUCCCAGAUUCCGUGUGGGUUUUGAGCUGUUAGUUUUAACAGGACUUGCAACCUGAUCUCCCUGCAUUCACUUAAUUGAUUUUAGCAUGAUAUCGAUGGGAUAUGACAAAUAAGUGUUGUGUUCCUUUGCUUAGCAACCCCUAUAUUUAAAUGCGUCGCUCCAAAAUAUAGCUGACUGUCUUCUGCAGGUUGUCCUCUAACCAGCGAGGUAAAAUAUCUUCCAUUUCCAUGUGUUUUGUUUAGUUGUGUUAGUUUCAACAGCAUGUCCACCUGAUUUCUGUUUCAGUAUGGUAUGGUAGAUAAAGGAAUAACGACAGACACCAAUGUCAGGUUCAAUAGCCUUGUUUGUGCAUUGUACGAAUCCCUACAGCUGGAGUCCGGGGAACAGUCCGGCUUGUCGAUUACCUAUCAACUAGACUCCGUAACAAUUCCCCGACGAAUCGAUAUCAGUGAUUUAUUGCUACUUGUCUGAACAACAGUGGUUUUUGUGCUUGUGUCCAUGGUGAGGACAACUUGGUUUCUGAUUGUCUCAAGGUUGGACAGUAAAAAAAAAAUGUUUUUUGUUUAGCCAGUGCGUUCCAUUGAUCAAAUUAUUUUGACUUUCCGUGAUAGAGAUGAGUUUUGUUUGGGCUUGUUCCAAGGAGACGAGAGUUCUAGAAGCUAGUGAGUUUUGGGAAGACAAGAGUUCUAGAAGCUAGUGAGUUUUAGGAUUCUAUAGAAAUAAACAUAUUCUAGAUGCUAAUGGGGAAAAAAUACAUGUUUUUUUUUCUUUCUUGUUUUUAUUUGUUGACAGCCAGUAGACACCAUGUUUAUAUUGGUGAAGGUGAAGCAUUGUAGUUGAUAAUAAUGUGAAAUGGAAGUUGUUUUCUGUUCGCGGUGAGCAUUCUCUUCAGGUGUUAGUCUUUGGUUUUUCCAUUUGAGGUUGGACUUUAGCACGUACUGAUUGGUGUCACCUCGUUAGGCAGUAUGUGUUUCACCUGAGCUGGUCCAGGUUCUAUUUAAGAGUGUCUGGCCCAGUGCUCCAGUUGUCUUGAUAAUGUGGAAUGUCAGCACCUUUAGUUGCUCCACCUUUUUUGAUUGAUUUCCUAUCUGUAAGUUUGGUGUGGGUUAUUAUUUUGUUUCCCUCUUCUUGGGCAGAUUUAGUGGGUCUCAUGGGUGUCUUUUAGGUCCCAGUUGUUGUUACUUGUCAACUUUCAGUGGACACUGUGAGAGCAAAACUGCAAGAUUAUGUUAUUAUACUUUUAUUGCAUCAAAUGGUUGUUUUAUGCAACAAAAUAGAGGGUGUCUGUGUUCUACUGAGGAUGUGCCUCUGGGAGAAAACACUGACAGGAGAUUUACAAUGUCUUUUGGGUGAUGAAACCUAAAGAGACCGCAUUCCAGGACAUGAGUUAAUGUUUCUGUUCUAUAUGGUACCAGGGAGAGAUGACCCCAGGGCCAGACUCUGGUCUCUACACAAAGAGUACUGUUUUUACAGCAGAUACUUAUAAUUCUCAGCAGAUCGUAUCUUUCAUACCAAUCUUAACCUUAUGACCCAUUCUAUACAUCUGUUGUUCGCCAUGUAGGUUGAAAGGGGUGUAUCUUGGCUAUAAAAUACCUUUGUACUUUUGUUCGCAGUCUGUUCUGUGUUCCAUGUAGGACUAAAGAUCAAGACCACCCAGUGUUACAUCUUCCUGUUGGAACCAUUAUACAUUCAGGAUGUAACACAACAACAUGUGGGACAAGUCAAGGGGUGUGAAUACUUUCUGAAGGCACUGUAUAUAUAAAAUUACCCCUAUCCCCCCCACCCAGCAAUCUAAUAGCAUCAGUCAGGCUGUAAUUGUUAAUAUUAUCAAUGGGUUUUCCUUAGAAUGCCCAUUAGUCUUUCAGUUGUUAUUCUUCUGUUUUUUUGUAUGUUCCUCGUGGUAAAUAUUUCAGUUCAUUUUCAUUGUUUUUUAUUAGUUUUUUCCUGUGAAGCCAUUGUGUUGCAUCCAUGUCUGAAAUGUGCUGUAUAAAUAAAACUUGAUUUGAUUUCAA